CGUAAACUACCUGCUCAUCACGUAGCAGGGUGCUCCGAUGAAGUGUAACGGAGGAAUUUACUACAACAACAACAACAACAACAACAUGGUGGUUUCUUAAGCUUUCAUAUUUUGGAUGGAUAAACCUUUUUCCUAAGAUGACCAAUGUUGUGCCCAGUGUGACAAAGAUUAGGAUCCCGUGUGACCAGACAAGAUAUGGUGGGAAAAUUGGAAAGCUUAAGAACAUGAAAGGCAGUCCCUGCUACAUGGUCAAACGCCUGGACCAUAGUCAUAUUCUGAUAGACGGAGAUAUUAAAAGAAAGGCGUGCUCUGCAGCAAGGACAGUGCAUUCAACUGAAAAGUGGACAAGUUUUGUAAUUCAAUGAGGAUUAAUACUCUUGUUAAAUGCAUGCAAAAAAUUGUAAUGUUGUUGUUUAUGUGUGUGUUUUUUUAAUUAUAGACAAGAAUAAAUGUUUUAACUGCAUUAUUGUAGCCCUGUUAAUUCUACACCUGUAAAUCUGAAAUUACGCCUGUAAAUUCUACACCUGUAAAUCUAAAAUUACGCCUGUAAAUUCUGCACCUGUAAUUCUCAAAUUACGCCUGUAAAUU